rnacentral:rRNA from 1 species
UUGACGUUAGCGGCGGACGGGUGAGUAACACGUGGGUAACCUACCCAUAAGACUGGGAUAACUUCGGGAAACCGGAGCUAAUACCGGAUAAUAUUUCGAACCGCAUGGUUCGAUAGUGAAAGAUGGCCCUGCUAUCACUUAUAGAUGGACCUGCGCCGUAUUAGCUAGUUGGUAAGGUAACGGCUUACCAAGGCAACGAUACGUAGCCGACCUGAGAGGGUGAUCGGCCACACUGGAACUGAGACACGGUCCAGACUCCUACGGGAGGCAGCAGUAGGGAAUCUUCCGCGAUGGGCGAAAGCCUGACGGAGCAACGCCGCGUGAGUGAUGAAGGUCUUCGGAUCGUAAAACUCUGUUAUUAGGGAAGAACAAACGUGUAAGUAACUGUGCACGUCUUGACGGUACCUAAUCAGAAAGCCACGGCUAACUACGUGCCAGCAGCCGCGGUAAUACGUAGGUGGCAAGCGUUAUCCGGAAUUAUUGGGCGUAAAGCGCGCGUAGGCGGUUUUUUAAGUCUGAUGUGAAAGCCCACGGCUCAACCGUGGAGGGUCAUUGGAAACUGGGAAACUUGAGUGCAGAAGAGGAAAGUGGAAUUCCAUGUGUAGCGGUGAAAUGCGCAGAGAUAUGGAGGAACACCAGUGGCGAA